rnacentral:rRNA from 1 species
UCUGGCUCUAGGUCUGGGACAACCACUGGAAACGGUGGCUAAUACCGGGUGUGCCGAAAGGUGAAAGGUUAACUGCCUGGAGAUGAGCUCGCGUCUGAUUAGCUAGUUGGUAGGGUAAAAGCUUACCAAGGCGACGAUCAGUAGCUGGUCUGAGAGGACGAUCAGCCACACUGGGACUGAGACACGGCCCAGACUCCUACGGGAGGCAGCAGUGGGGAAUUUUCCGCAAUGGGCGAAAGCCUGACGGAGCAAUACCGCGUGAGGGAGGAAGGCUCUUGGGUUGUAAACCUCUUUUCUCAGGGAAGAAUAAUGACGGUACUUGAGGAAUAAGCAUCGGCUAACUCCGUGCCAGCAGCCGCGGUAAUACGGAGGAUGCAAGCGUUAUCCGGAAUGAUUGGGCGUAAAGCGUUCGCAGGUGGCAUUGAAAGUCUGCUGUUAAAGAGUUUGGCUUAACCAAAUAUAGGCAGUGGAAACUCCAAAGCUAGAGUGCGGUAGGGGCAGAGGGAAUUCCUGGUGUAGCGGUGAAAUGCGUAGAGUUCAGGAAGAACACCGGUGGCGAAAGCGCUCUGCUAGGCCGCAACUGACACUGAGGGACGAAAGC